GUGACUGCGUACCUUUUGUAUAAUGGGUCAGCGACUUAUAUUCUGUAGCAAGGUUAACCGAAUAGGGGAGCCGCAGGGAAACCGAGUCUUAAUUGGGCGUUAAGUUGCAGGGUAUAGACCCGAAACCCGGUGAUCUAGCCAUGGGCAGGUUGAAGGUUGGGUAACACUAACUGGAGGACCGAACCGACUAAUGUUGAAAAAUUAGCGGAUGACCUGUGGCUGGGGGUGAAAGGCCAAUCAAACCGGGAGAUAGCUGGUUCUCCCCGAAAGCUAUUUAGGUAGCGCCUCGUGAAUUCAUCUCCGGGGGUAGAGCACUGUUUCGGCUAGGGGGCCAUCCCGGCUUACCAACCCGAUGCAAACUGCGAAUACCGGAGAAUGUUAUCACGGGAGACACACGGCGGGUGCUAACGUCCGUCGUGAAGAGGGAAACAACCCAGACCGCCAGCUAAGGUCCCAAAGUCAUGGUUAAGUGGGAAACGAUGUGGGAAGGCCCAGACAGCCAGGAUGUUGGCUUAGAAGCAGCCAUCAUUUAAAGAAAGCGUAAUAGCUCACUGGUCGAGUCGGCCUGCGCGGAAGAUGUAACGGGGCUAAACCAUGCACCGAAGCUGCGGCAGCGACGCUGAUGCGUUGUUGGGUAGGGGAGCGUUCUGUAAGCCUGUGAAGGUGUGUCGUGAGGCAUGCUGGAGGUAUCAGAAGUGCGAAUGCUGACAUAAGUAACGAUAAAGCGGGUGAAAAGCCCGCUCGCCGGAAGACCAAGGGUUCCUGUCCAACGUUAAUCGGGGCAGGGUGAGUCGACCCCUAAGGCGAGGCCGAAAGGCGUAGUCGAUGGGAAACGGGUUAAUAUUCCCGUACUUGGUGUUACUGCGAAGGGGGGACGGAGAAGGCUAUGUUGGCCGGGCGACGGUUGUCCCGGUUUAAGCGUGUAGGUGUGUGUUCCAGGUAAAUCCGGUUCACUUUAACACUGAGGCGUGAUGACGAGGCACUACGGUGCUGAAGCAACAAAUGCCCUGCUUCCAGGAAAAGCCUCUAAGCAUCAGGUAACAUCAAAUCGUACCCCAAACCGACACAGGUGGUCAGGUAGAGAAUACCAAGGCGCUUGAGAGAACUCGGGUGAAGGAACUAGGCAAAAUGGUGCCGUAACUUCGGGAGAAGGCACGCUGACACGUAGGUGAAGUGAUUUACUCACGGAGCUGAAGUCAGUCGAAGAUACCAGCUGGCUGCAACUGUUUAUUAAAAACACAGCACUGUGCAAACACGAAAGUGGACGUAUACGGUGUGACGCCUGCCCGGUGCCGGAAGGUUAAUUGAUGGGGUCAGCGCAAGCGAAGCUCCUGAUCGAAGCCCCGGUAAACGGCGGCCGUAACUAUAACGGUCCUAAGGUAGCGAAAUUCCUUGUCGGGUAAGUUCCGACCUGCACGAAUGGCGUAAUGAUGGCCAGGCUGUCUCCACCCGAGACUCAGUGAAAUUGAACUCGCUGUGAAGAUGCAGUGUACCCGCGGCAAGACGGAAAGACCCCGUGAACCUUUACUAUAGCUUGACACUGAACAUUGAGCCUUGAUGUGUAGGAUAGGUGGGAGGCUUUGAAGUGUGGACGCCAGUCUGCAUGGAGCCGACCUUGAAAUACCACCCUUUAAUGUUUGAUGUUCUAACGUGGACCCGUAAUCCGGGUUGCGGACAGUGUCUGGUGGGUAGUUUGACUGGGGCGGUCUCCUCCUAAAGAGUAACGGAGGAGCACGAAGGUUGGCUAAUCCUGGUCGGACAUCAGGAGGUUAGUGCAAUGGCAUAAGCCAGCUUGACUGCGAGCGUGACGGCGCGAGCAGGUGCGAAAGCAGGUCAUAGUGAUCCGGUGGUUCUGAAUGGAAGGGCCAUCGCUCAACGGAUAAAAGGUACUCCGGGGAUAACAGGCUGAUACCGCCCAAGAGUUCAUAUCGACGGCGGUGUUUGGCACCUCGAUGUCGGCUCAUCACAUCCUGGGGCUGAAGUAGGUCCCAAGGGUAUGGCUGUUCGCCAUUUAAAGUGGUACGCGAGCUGGGUUUAGAACGUCGUGAGACAGUUCGGUCCCUAUCUGCCGUGGGCGCUGGAGAACUGAGGGGGGCUGCUCCUAGUACGAGAGGACCGGAGUGGACGCAUCACUGGUGUUCGGGUUGUCAUGCCAAUGGCACUGCCCGGUAGCUAAAUGCGGAAGAGAUAAGUGCUGAAAGCAUCUAAGCACGAAACUUGCCCCGAGAUGAGUUCUCCCUGAGACUUAGAGUCUCCUGAAGGAACGUUGAAGACGACGACGUUGAUAGGCCGGGUGUGUAAGCGCAGCGAUGCGUUGAGCUAACCGGUACUAAUGAACCGUGAGGCUUAACCUUACAACGCCGAAG
rnacentral:rRNA from 2 species